rnacentral:SRP_RNA from 1 species
GCUGGGCAUGGUGGCGCGUGCCUGUAGUCCCAGCUACUCGGGGGGGGCUGAGGCAGAAGAAUUGCUUGAACCCAGGAGGUGGAGGUUGCAGUGAGCCGAGAUCACGUCACUGCACUCCAGCCUGGGUGACAGAGCGAGACUCUGUCUUAA